CCACUCAUUAAAAGAGUGCGUAAUAGCUCACUGGUCGAGUGACUCUGCGCCGAAAAUUUAACGGGGCUAAACUAUACACCGAAGCUUGGGAUACAUCUAAUGUAUGGUAGGAGAGCGUUCUGUAUGGGGAGAAGUCGUAGCGAAAGCGGCGGUGGACUAUACAGAAGUGAGAAUGCCGGAAUAAGUAGCGAGAAUUAAGUGAGAAUCUUAAUGGCCGAAAGUCUAAGGUUUUUGGAGGAAGGUUCGUCCGCUCCAAGUAAGUCGGGAGCUAAGGUCAGGCCGAAAGGCGUAGCCGAUGCACAUACGGUUGAUAUUCCGUAACCAUCUGUAAUUUAAGCAAAGGGACACUUCAAAAGGGUGUGACCCGGGCGUUGGUUGACCCGGGCGUAAGGGACCGAAAUUAGAGUAGGGAAGCACACUUAGCUGAAGGCGAGAAAAGCUUUGCGUAUAGAAGCAGAUGCCCGUACCGCAAACCGACACAGGUGGACAGGAAGAGAAUUCUAAGGCCAGCGGGAGAAGGGUAGUUAAGGAACUCGGCAAAUUGACUCCGUAACUUCGGAAUAAGGAGUGCUCGAAAGAGCCGCAGAGAAUAGGCCCAGGCGACUGUUUAGCAAAAACACAGGUCUCUGCCAAAUCGAAAGAUGAAGUAUAGGGGCUGACACCUGCCCGGUGCCGGAAGGUUAAGAGGAGGAGUGAGAGCUCCGAAUUGAAGCCCCGGUAAACGGCGGCCGUAACUAUAACGGUCCUAAGGUAGCGAAAUUCCUUGUCGGGUAAGUUCCGACCCGCACGAAUGGUGUAACGAUCUGGGCACUGUCUCAACUACCCACCCGGCGAAAUUGUAGUACCGGUGAAGAUGCCGGUUACCUGCGGCAAGACGGAAAGACCCCAUGGAGCUUUACUGUAGCCUGAUAUUGGGUUUCGGAAAUCUAUGUACAGGAUAGGCGGGAGACUGGGAAACAUGAGCGUCAGCUUGUGUGGAGUCGAUGUUGGGAUACCGCCCUUAGGUUUCUGGAAUUCUAACCUGCGGCCGUGAAUCCGGUCGGGGGACAUUGUCAGGUGGGCAGUUUGACUGGGGCGGUCGCCUCCGAAAAGGUAACGGAGGCGCUCAAAGGUUAGCUCAGCACGGACGGAAACCGUGCCUCUGAGUGUAAACGCAAAAGCUAGCCUAACUGCGAGGGUGACGGCCCGAGCAGUAACGAAAGUUGGAGUUAGUGAUCCGGCGGUAUGUGAAUGGAAAUGCCGUCGCUCAACGGAUAAAAGCUACCCUGGGGAUAACAGGCUGAUCUCCCCCAAGAGUCCACAUCGACGGGGAGGUUUGGCACCUCGAUGUCGGCUCAUCGCAUCCUGGGGCUGUAGUCGGUUCCAAGGGUUGGGCUGUUCGCCCAUUAAAGCGGUACGCGAGCUGGGUUCAGAACGUCGUGAGACAGUUCGGUCCCUAUCUGUCGUGGGCGCAGGAUAUUUGAGGAGCUCUGUCCUUAGUACGAGAGGACCGGGAUGGACGUACCUCUGGUGCACCAGUUGUCAUGCCAAUGGCACGGCUGGGCAGCUAUGUACGGAACGGAUAAACGCUGAAAGCAUCUAAGCGUGAAGCCGACUCCAAGAUUAGAUAUCCCAUCGUAUAACGAGUAAGACCCCUUGAAGACUACGAGGUUGAUAGGCUGCGUGUGUAAGUGCCGUGAGGCAUUCAGCUUGGCAGUACUAAUAGGUCGAGGGCUUGACCA
rnacentral:rRNA from 1 species